AUUGAACGCUGGCGGCAGGCCUAACACAUGCAAGUCGAGCGAGCGGCGGGCGGGUGAGUAAAAUAUGGGGACUGUGCGCUAGAGGGGGGUAACACCUGGGAACGGUGGCUAAUACCGCGCACUGUAUGAGAGCACCUAUGGGAUUAGCUAGUAGGUAGGGUAAUGGCUUACCUAGGCGACGAUCCCUAGCUGGUCUGAGAGGAUGAUCAGCCACACUGGGACUGAGACACGGCCCAGACUCCUACGGAGGCAGCAGUGGGGAAUAUUGCACAAUGGGCGCAAGCCUGAUGCAGCCAUGCCGCGUGUAUGAAGAAGGCCCUAGGGUUGUAAAGUACUUUCAGUCGGGAGGCGUUACCGGCAGAAGAAGCACCGGCUAACUCCGUGCCAGCAGCCGCGGUAAUUC
rnacentral:rRNA from 1 species